rnacentral:rRNA from 1 species
GACGUAGGGCGCGAGCGUUGUCCGGAUUUAUUGGGCGUAAAGAGCUCGUAGGCGGCUUGUUACGUCGACUGUGAAAACCCACGGCUCAACCGUGUGGUCUGCAGUCGAUACGGGCAGGCUAGAAUUCGGUGAGGGGAGACUGGAAUUCCUGGUGUAGCGGUGAAAUGCGCAGAUAUCAGGAGGAACACCGGUGGCGAAGGCGGGGUCUCUGGGGCCGAUAUUGACGCUGAGGAGCGAAAAGCGUGGGGGAGCGAACAGG